rnacentral:rRNA from 1 species
UGCGUAGGUGGCCUUUUAAGUUGGAUGUGAAAUACCCGGGCUUAACUUGGGGGGUUGCAUCUAAUACUGGAGGGCUAGAGUGCAGGAGAGGAAAGCGGAAUUCCUAGUGUAGCGGUGAAAUGCGUAGAUAUUAGGAGGAACACCAGUGGCGAAGGCGGCUUUCUGGACUGUAACUGACACUGAGGCACGAAAGCGUGGGGAGCAAACA